GACGAACGCUGGCGGCGUGCUUAACACAUGCAAGUCGAACGGAAAGGCCCUGCUUUUGUGGGUUGCUCGAGUGCCGAACGGGUGAGUAACACGUGAGUAACCUCCCCUUGUCUUUGGGAUAACUCCUGGAAACUGGGGCUCAUACCGGAUAGGAGCUCCUGCUGCAUGGUGGGGGUUGGAAAGUUUCGGCGGUUGGGGAUGGACUCGCGGCUUAUCAGCUUGUUGGUGGGGUAGUGGCUUACCAAGGCUUUGACGGGUAGCCGGCCUGAGAGGGUGACCGGCCACAUUAGGACUGAGAUACGGCCCAGACUCCUACGGGAGGCAGCAGUGGGGAAUAUUGCACAAUGGGCGGAAGCCUGAUGCAGCAGCGCCGCGUGCGGGAUGACGGCCUUCGGGUUGUAAACCGCUUUCGCCUGUGACGAAGCGUGAGUGACGGUAAUGGGUAAAGAAGCACCGGCUAACUACGUG
rnacentral:rRNA from 1 species